AUGUUGGGUUAAGUCCCGCAACGAGCGCAACCCUUGUUCCUAGUUGCCAGCAUUGAGUUGGGCACUCUAGGGAGACUGCCGGUGACAAACCGGAGGAAGGUGAGGAUGACGUCAAGUCAGCAUGCCCCUUACGCUCUGGGCUACACACGUGCUACACUGGCGCGGACAAAGGGUUGCGAGCGCGCAAGCGUGAGCCAAUCCCAAAAACCGCGUCUCAGUUCAGAUCGCAGGCUGCAACUCGCCUGCGUGAAGGCGGAAUCGCUAGUAAUCGCAGAUCAGCAUGCUGCGGUGAAUACGUUCCCGGGCCUUGUACACACCGCCCGUCACACCAUGGGAGCUGGCCAUGCCCGAAGUCGGAGCACCCGCCGAAGGCAGGGCUGGUGACUGGGGUGAAGUCGUAACAAGGUAGCCGUACCGGAAGGUGCGGCUGGAUCACCUCCUUU
rnacentral:rRNA from 1 species